UGAGAAGCAUUGUGAUGUAGAUCGAACCUAGUUUGUGAGUUAAGGAGUGUCUAUUAGUAGCCGAACAGCUAAAUAGUUCACCGUCUGUCUUUGAUUUCGUCAUAAUUCGCCGCAGUUGUUGUUCACUUUGCUGAGACGAAUCAGUCGAUGUUCUGUAACAGACGAGUUCAAGUAGAAACUCGAAGCAAAAGCAAGAGGAAAACAGUGAUUUUAAGUUAUGAUAGCGUUUUUAACGGGACAAUAUUGGAAUUGGAAUGCACGGGAGAAACUGUUUCUGAUCGCGUUGACGUCAAUUAGCUAUAAUCAUUAUCUGUCUUGUAGUUGUUGAGCGUCGAUUAGUAUUCACAACAAGUAAUGAGAGCAUUUAAACUGAUAACAAAAUUUUCGCUUGAUCUCCGGGAUUGUACUUCAUUUAAUUUUAUCAGAUACAAGUUAGAAAUGUAUUCGCAACCGCCAAGGUCUUUAAAGUAACCAAGGGUUGGCAUGAUUAUAUGAUCUUCAUGCCGUUAUAAUGUCACUUAGUAUUUGAUACUUGCUCGCUUUCUGAUACUUGAAUGUGCAUUUCAAGCCAAAAAAUUGUGAUUACAGUAUUUAGCCUGUUGUUUCUUGUUUGCGAAAGCAACAAAUGCUUCCCUGUUUGUGUUCAAUAUCUUUGAUCAUUAUACAUUGGACUUACUAUGAAAAACCUGUUUGUUUAGAGCUUUCAAUCAACAUACCAUGGUGUGUAAACUUGACAUGAUAAAUGCAAUAUUUCCAGCGAGUGAUGAA